CACGUAGGCACCAAGCGUUGUCCGGAUUUAUUGGGCGUAAAGAGCUCGUAGGCGGCUCGUUGCGUCGGCUGUGAAAACCCGCAGCUCAACUGUGGGCUUGCAGCCGAUACGGGCGGGCUGGAGUUCGGUAGGGGAGACUGGAAUUCCUGGUGUAGCGGUGAAAUGCGCAGAUAUCAGGAGGAACACCGGUGGCGAAGGCGGGUCUCUGGGCCGAUACUGACGCUGAGGAGCGAAAGCGUGGGGAGCGAACAGG
rnacentral:rRNA from 1 species